rnacentral:rRNA from 1 species
UACGGAGGGUGCAAGCGUUAUCCGGAUUCCCUGGGUUUAAAGGGUGCGUAGGUGGGUUGGUAAGUCAGUGGUGAAAUCUCCGAGCUUAACUUGGAAACUGCCAUUGAUACUAUCAGUCUUGAAUAUUGUGGAGGUCAGCGGAAUAUGUCAUGUAGCGGUGAAAUGCUUAGAUAUGACAUAGAACACCAAUUGCGAAGGCAGCUGGCUACACAUAUAUUGACACUGAGGCACGAAAGCGUGGGGAUCAAACAGG